GAAGCCGGAAUCGCUAGUAAUCGCGGAUCAGAAUGCCGCGGUGAAUACGUUCCCGGGUCUUGUACACACCGCCCGUCACACCAUGGGAGUCGGAAAUGCCCGAAGCCGGUGACCCAACCCGAAAGGGAGGGAGCCGUCGAAGGCAGGUCGGAUGACUGGGGUGAAGUCGUAACAAGGUAGC
rnacentral:rRNA from 1 species